CGGACGGGUGAGUAACGCGUGGGAAUCUGCCCUCAGGAGGGGGAUAACGGCUGGAAACGGCCGCUAAUACCCCAUAUGCCGAGAGGUGAAAUGAAUUUCGCCUGAGGAUGAGCCCGCGUCUGAUUAGCUAGUUGGUGAGGUAAGAGCUCACCAAGGCAUCGAUCAGUAGCUGGUCUGAGAGGAUGAUCAGCCACACUGGGACUGAGAACGGCCCAGACUCCUACGGGAGGCAGCAGUGGGGAAUUUUCCGCAAGGGGCGAAAGCCUGACGGAGCAACGCCGCGUGAGGGAUGAAGGCCUCUGGGCUGUAAACCUCUUUUCUCAAGGAAGAAGAUCUGACGGUACUUGAGGAAUAAGCCACGGCUAAUUCCGUGCCAGCAGCCGCGGUAAUACGGGAGUGGCAAGCGUUAUCCGGAAUUAUUGGGCGUAAAGCGUCCGCAGGCGGCCCUUCAAGUCUGCUGUUAAAGCGUGGAGCUUAACUCCAUCAUGGCAGUGGAAACUGUUGGGCUUGAGUGUGGUAGGGGCAGAGGGAAUUCCCGGUGUAGCGGUGAAAUGCGUAGAUAUCGGGAAGAACACCAGUGGCGAAGGCGCUCUGCUGGGCCAUAACUGACGCUCAUGGACGAAAGCCAGGGGAGCGAAAG
rnacentral:rRNA from 1 species